rnacentral:rRNA from 1 species
AGGACGACGCUGGCGGCGUGCUUAACACAUGCAAGUCGAACGGUGAACCAGGGCUUGCCCUGGGGAUCAGUGGCGAACGGGUGAGUAACACGUGGGCAACCUGCCCCUGACUCUGGGAUAACUCCUCGAAAGAGGUGCUAAUACCGGAUACGACCACUUCGGGCAUCCGAUGGUGGUGGAAAGAAUUUUGGUCAGGGAUGGGCCCGCGGCCUAUCAGCUUGUUGGUGGGGUAACGGCCCACCAAGGCGACGACGGGUAGCCGGCCUGAGAGGGCGACCGGCCACACUGGGACUGAGACACGGCCCAGACUCCUACGGGAGGCAGCAGUGGGGAAUAUUGCGCAAUGGGCGAAAGCCUGACGCAGCGACGCCGCGUGAGGGACGACGGCCUUCGGGUUGUAAACCUCUUUCAGCAGGGACGAAGCGAAAGUGACGGUACCUGCAGAAGAAGCACCGGCUAACUACGUG